rnacentral:misc_RNA from 1 species
UCUCUGUAGGUGAACCUGCGGAAGGAUCAUUAUUGUAUAACCGAGGUGCGAGGGCUGUCGCUGACCCGAAAGGUCGUGCACGCCCGAGUGCCCUCACACACAUCCAUCUCACCCCUAUGUGCACCACCGCGUGGGUCCCCCUUUGGCUUGUUCGGAGGGGGGCUUACGUUUUCACACAAACUUUGUAUGCAGUGUAGAAUGUAUUUUUUGUUUUUGCGAUCACGCAAUCAAUACAACUUUCAACAACGGAUCUCUUGGCUCUC